GAUGAACGCUGGCGGCGUGCCUAAUACAUGCAAGUCGAGCGAACAGAUGAGGAGCUUGCUCCUCUGACGUUAGCGGCGGACGGGUGAGUAACACGUGGAUAACCUACCUAUAAGACUGGGAUAACUUCGGGAAACCGGAGCUAAUACCGGAUAAUAUAUUGAACCGCAUGGUUCAAUAGUGAAAGACGGUUUUGCUGUCACUUAUAGAUGGAUCCGCGCCGCAUUAGCUAGUUGGUAAGGUAACGGCUUACCAAGGCAACGAUGCGUAGCCGACCUGAGAGGGUGAUCGGCCACACUGGAACUGAGACACGGUGCAGACUCCUACGGGAGGCAGCAGUAGGGAAUCUUCCGCAAUGGGCGAAAGCCUGACGGAGCAACGCCGCGUGAGUGAUGAAGGUCUUCGGAUCGUAAAACUCUGUUAUUAGGGAAGAACAAAUGUGUAAGUAACUAUGCACGUCUUGACGGUACCCAAUCAGAAAGCCACGGCUAACUACGUG
rnacentral:rRNA from 1 species